rnacentral:rRNA from 1 species
AGUGAACGCUGGUGGUAGGCCUAACACAUGCAAGUCGAACGGCAGCACAGGAGCUCUUGCUCUCUGGGUGGCGAGUGGCGGACGGGUGAGGAAUACAUCGGAAUCUGCCCAGUCGUGGGGGAUAACGUAGGGAAACUUACGCUAAUACCGCAUACGACCUUCGGGUGAAAGAGGGGGAUCGCAAGACCUCUCAUGAUUGGAUGAGCCGAUGUCGGAUUAGCUAGUUGGCGGGGUAAUGGCCCACCAAGGCGACGAUCCGUAGCUGGUCUGAGAGGAUGAUCAGCCACACUGGACGUGAGACACGGUCCAGACUCCUACGGGGGGCAGCAGUGGGGAAUAUUGGACAAUGGGCGCAAGCCUGAUCCAGCCAUACCGCGUGGGUGAAGAAGGCCUUCGGGUUGUAAAGCCCUUUUGUUGGGAAAGAAAUCUUUCAGGCUAAUACCCUGGGAGGAUGACGGUACCCAAAGAAUAAGCACCGGCUAACUUCGUG